UCCUUCUUGAUGUCCUGCUUCAGAGUCCUUAUUCCUCAAGCUCGAAUGCCAGCUGAAUCUUGGCCUCUUCAGCUUCCUUAGAGGUGGACUCUAAUUUCUAUUCAACUGUCUUCCUCUCCUUCUUAGUUGUGUUCUGCUCCUUCUCAGCCUUUUUCAGCUUCACUUCGAGAGAAGCCCUAGCCUGACCCUGUUUGGCUAAAAGCUUCUCUCAUGAAGGUAAGAGGAUUUACCAUCGGUACAAGGAGCACAAACUAUAAGAGAAAGUUGAAAAAGAAGGAUAAAAGAAGGAUGAGAAGAAGAGAUUACCGCAAUGAUGCUAACCAAACUAGCGUCCAAUGCUCUCUCCACUAUAAGGCUCUUCUGUAGCUCAGAUCCAUGGGGAGCACGAGAAGACUUGUCAACUCCCUAGCCAGCUGACCGUUCAUCAGUGCUGACACUUUCUCCUUCAUGAUCUUCGUCAGCAUGAUUGUAUUCUCCUCGAUAGCUGGUUCAGAAGAAGGUUGGCCAUCUCU
rnacentral:lncRNA from 1 species